rnacentral:rRNA from 1 species
CCUACGGGGGGCAGCAGUGGGGAAUCUUCCGCAAUGGGCGCAAGCCUGACGGAGCAACGCCGCGUGAAUGAAGAAGGUCUUCGGAUCGUAAAGUUCUGUUCUUGGGGAAGAAGUCUUAGGUUGUGAAUAAUGACUUAAGGUGACGGUCCCUAUGGAGAAGGCUCCGCCAAACUACGUGCCAGCAGCCGCGGUAAUCCGGAGGGAGCGAACGUUGUCCGGAAUUACGGGGCGAAAAGGGCGCGUAGGCGGGAACUUAAGUUAGAGGUGAAAACUCCGGGCUUAACCUGGAGACUGCAUUUAAAACUGGGUUUCUUGAGGGCAGGAGAGGAAAGUGGAAUUCCUAGGGUAGCGGUGAAAUGCGUAGAUAAUAGGAGGAACACCAGUGGCGAAGGCGACUUUCUGGACUGUACCUGACGCUGAGGCGCGAAAGCAUGGGAGCGAACAGGAUUAGAUACCCUAGUAGUC